rnacentral:rRNA from 1 species
UACGUAGGGGGCGAGCGUUGUCCGGAUUUACUGGGCGUAAAGAGCGUGUAGGCGGCCAGGCCGGUCUGUUGUGAAAACUGGAGGCUCAACCUCCAGACGUCGACAGAAACCGCUUGGCUAGAGUCCGGAAGAGGAGAGUGGAAUUCCUGGUGUAGCGGUGAAAUGCGCAGAUAUCAGGAAGAACACCGAUGGCGAAGGCAGCUCUCUGGGACGGUACUGACGCUGAGACGCGAAAGCGUGGGGAGCGAACAGGAUUAGAUACCCUGGUAGUCCACGCCGUAAACGAUGGGUGCUAGGUGUGGGAGGUGUCGACUCCUCCCGUGCCGCAGCUAACGCAUUAAGCACCCCGCCUGGGGAGUACGGCCGCAAGGCUAAA